rnacentral:lncRNA from 1 species
CGUCUACCAGCCUCGCCGUGCGCUGGGAGUCGCCUUCGCCGGAGUCGCGGCACGGACGCCUGCUUGGCUUCUACCUCGGCAUCGCCCGAGUCCGAGAUUCAUCACAAGACGAUGCGUUGUCUUACAACUUCACGACGGUGGGAUCAGGUGGUGACACUAGUCAUCACAGUGCAGUGUCAGGCCUGGUGCCCUACACUAGUUACUCCGUCGUGGUGAGAGCCUUCAACGCUCAGGGGGCCGGUCCACCCUCUGAACCGGUCACCACACGCACACUGCAGGACAGACCCAGCAGCCCCCCUUCAGGGGUGCGGUGUGCUGGUGUCUCCCCCACGGCCCUGGAGAUCUCCUGG